rnacentral:snRNA from 1 species
ACACUUACCUGGCAGAGGAGAUACCAUGAUCACGAAGGUGGUUUUCCCAGGGCAAGGCUUAUCCAUUGCACUCCAGAUGUGCUGACCCCUGUGAUUUCCCCAAAUGUGGGAAACUUGACUGCAUAAUUUGUGGUAGUGGGGGACUGCCUUCAUGCUUUCCCCUG